AUUGAACGCUGGCGGCAGGCCUAACACAUGCAAGUCGAACGAGUGGCGGACGGGUGAGUAAUGUCUGGGAAACUGCCCGAUGGAGGGGGAUAACUACUGGAAACGGUAGCUAAUACCGCAUACCAUCGGAUGUGCCCAGAUGGGAUGAGCUAGAUAGUGGGGUAUCGGCUCACCUAGGCGACGAUCCCUAGCUGGUCUGAGAGAAUGAACAGACAACCUGGAACUGAGACACGGUGCAGACUCCUACGGGAGGCAGCAGUGGGGAAUAUUGCUCAAUGGGCGCAAGCCUGAUGCAGCCAGGCCGCGUGUAUGAAGAAGGCCUUUGGGUUGUAAAGUACUUUCAGCGAGGAGGCGUUACUCGCAGAAGAAGCACCGGCUAACUCCGUGCAAGCAGCGGCGGUAAUUC
rnacentral:rRNA from 1 species